rnacentral:tRNA from 1 species
GUCCCAGUGGCUCAGCUGGUAGAGCACAUGCCACACAUGCAGCAGCCCAGGUUCGAAUCCAGCCUGGGUCC